rnacentral:rRNA from 1 species
UAGGGAAUCUUCGGCAAUGGACGAAAGUCUGACCGAGCAACGCCGCGUGAGUGAAGAAGGUUUUCGGAUCGUAAAACUCUGUUGUUAGAGAAGAACAAGGACGUUAGUAACUGAACGUCCCCUGACGGUAUCUAACCAGAAAGCCACGGCUAACUACGUGCCAGCAGCCGCGGUAAUACGUAGGUGGCAAGCGUUGUCCGGAUUUAUUGGGCGUAAAGCGAGCGCAGGCGGUUUCUUAAGUCUGAUGUGAAAGCCCCCGGCUCAACCGGGGAGGGUCAUUGGAAACUGGGAGACUUGAGUGCAGAAGAGGUGAGUGGAAUUCCAUGUGUAGCGGUGAAAUGCGUAGAUAUAUGGAGGAACACGAGUGGCGAAGGCGGCUCUCUGGUCUGUAUCUGACGCUGAGGCUCGAAAGAGUGGGGAGCAAACAGG